UACAGAGGGUGCGAGCGUUGUCCGGAAUCACUGGGCGUAAAGGGCGUGUAGGUGGCUCGUUAAGCGUGUGGUGAAAGCCUGGGGCUCAACCCCAGGUCUGCCGUGCGAACUGGCGAGCUUGAGUACAGUAGAGGCAGGUGGAAUUUCGGGUGUAGCGGUGGAAUGCGUAGAUAUCCGAAAGAACACCGGUGGCGAAGGCGGCGACCUGGUCCGUGACUGACGCUGAGGCGCGAAAGUGUGGGGAGCGAACAGG
rnacentral:rRNA from 1 species